ACGUAGGUGGCAAGCGUUAUCCGGAAUUACUGGGUGUAAAGGGAGCGCAGGCGGGAUAGCAAGUCAGCUGUGAAAACUAUGGGCUCAACCCAUAAACUGCAGUUGAAACUGUUAUUCUUGAGUGGAGUAGAGGCAAGCGGAAUUCCGAGUGUAGCGGUGAAAUGCGUAGAUAUUCGGAGGAACACCAGUGGCGAAGGCGGCUUGCUGGGCUCUAACUGACGCUGAGGCUCGAAAGUGUGGGGAGCAAACAG
rnacentral:rRNA from 2 species